rnacentral:rRNA from 1 species
CCUACGGGAGGCAGCAGUAGGGAAUAUUGCUCAAUGGGGGAAACCCUGAAGCAGCAACGCCGCGUGGAGGAUGACGGUUUUAUGAUUUUAAACUCCUUUUGUUAGAGAAGAUAAUGACGGUAUCUAACGAAUAAGCACCGUCUAAAUCCGUGCCAGCAGCCGCGGUAAAACGGAGGGUGCCACCGUGACUCGGAAUCAAUGGGCGUAAAGCGUGCGUAGGCGGGUUAAUCAGUCAGAUGUGAAAUCCUAGGGCUUAACCCCGAAACUGCAUUUGAAACUGUGCAGCUAGAGUGCGGGAGAGGUAAGUGGAAUGCGUGGUGUAGCGGUGAAAUGCGUAGAUAUCAAGAGGAACACCGAUUGCGAAGGCGGCAUACUGGAGCAUAACUGACGCUGAUGCACGAAAGCGUGGGGAGCAAACAGGAUUAGAGACCCCUGUAGUC